rnacentral:rRNA from 1 species
GGUGAGUAACACGUGGGAACGUGCCUUUAGGUUCGGAAUAGCUCCUGGAAACGGGUGGUAAUGCCGAAUGUGCCCUUCGGGGGAAAGAUUUAUCGCCUUUAGAGCGGCCCGCGUCUGAUUAGCUAGUUGGUAGUGUAAUGGACUACCAAGGCUACGAUCAGUAGCUGGUCUGAGAGGAUGAUCAGCCACAUUGGGACUGAGACACGGCCCAAACUCCUACGGGAGGCAGCAGUGGGGAAUCUUGCGCAAUGGGCGAAAGCCUGACGCAGCCAUGCCGCGUGAAUGAUGAAGGUCUUAGGAUUGUAAAAUUCUUUCACCGGGGACGAUAAUGACGGUACCCGGAGAAGAAGCCCCGGCUAACUUCGUGCCAGCAGCCGCGGUAAUACGAAGGGGGCUAGCGUUGCUCGGAAUUACUGGGCGUAAAGGGAGCGUAGGCGGACAUUUAAGUCAGGGGUGAAAUCCCGGGGCUCAACCUCGGAAUUGCCUUUGAUACUGGGUGUCUUGAGUGUGAGAGAGGUAUGUGGAACUCCGAGUGUAGAGGUGAAAUUCGUAGAUAUUCGGAAGAACACCAGUGGCGAAGGCGACAUACUGGCUCAUUACUGACGCUGAGGCUCGAAAGCGUGGGGAGCAAACAGGAUUAGAUACCCUGGUAGUCCACGCCGUAAACGAUGAUUGCUAGUUGUUGGGAAGUUUACUUCUCGGUGACGCAGCUAACGCAUUAAGCAAUCCGCCUGGGGAGUACGGUCGCAAGAUUAAAACUCAA